rnacentral:rRNA from 1 species
GAGUGAAGCGGCAACAGCUCAAAUUUGAAAUCUGGCCCCCCGGCCCGAGUUGUAAUUUGCAGAGGAUGCUUCGGGCGCGGUGCCUUCCAAGUCCCCUGGAACGGGGCGCCGGAGAGGGUGAGAGCCCCGUACGGUUGGCGGCCAAGCCUGUGUGAAGCUCCUUCGACGAGUCGAGUAGUUUGGGAAUGCUGCUCUAAGCGGGAGGUAGACCCCUUCUAAAGCUAAAUAUAGGCCAGAGACCGAUAGCGCACAAGUAGAGUGAUCGAAAGAUGAAAAGCACUUUGAAAAGAGGGUUAAACAGCACGUGAAAUUGUUGAAAGGGAAGCGCUUGCGACCAGACGUGCGCCGGGGUGCUCAGCGGGCGUUCUCGCCCGUGCACUCGCCCCGGCGCAGGCCAGCGUCGGUUCGCGUGGGAGGAUAAAGGCGCCUGGAAUGUGGCUCCCCCGGGAGUGUUAUAGCCAGGCGUGCCAUGCUCCCCUGCGGACCGAGGUACGCGUUCUGCAAGGACGCUGGCGUAAUGGUCCCCAGCGACCCGUCUUGAAACACGGACCAAGGAGUCGAGGUUUUGCGCGAGUGUUUGGGUGUUAAACCCGCACGCGUAAUGAAAGUGAACGUAGGUGGGAGCUUCGGCGCACCACCGACCGAUCCUGAUGUUUUCGGAUGGAUUUGAGUAAGAGCGUAGGGCCUCGGACCCGAAAGAUGGUGAACUAUGCUUGGAUAGGGUGAAGCCAGAGGAAACUCUGGUGGAGGCUCGCAGCGGUUCUGACGUGCAAAUCGAUCGU